GGGGGAUAUUGCGCAAUGGGGGCAACCCUGACGCAGCAACGCCGCGUGAAGGAUGAAGGUUUUCGGAUUGUAAACUUCUUUUAUUAAGGACGAAAAAUGACGGUACUUAAUGAAUAAGCUCCGGCUAACUACGUGCCAGCAGCCGCGGUAAUACGUAGGGAGCAAGCGUUGUCCGGAUUUACUGGGUGUAAAGGGUGCGUAGGCGGCUUUGCAAGUCAGAUGUGAAAUCUAUGGGCUCAACCCAUAAACUGCAUUUGAAACUGUAGAGCUUGAGUGAAGUAGAGGCAGGCGGAAUUCCCCGUGUAGCGGUGAAAUGCGUAGAGAUGGGGAGGAACACCAGUGGCGAAGGCGGCCUGCUGGGCUUUAACUGACGCUGAGGCACGAAAGCGUGGGUAGCAAACAGGAUUAGAUACCCUGGUAGUCCACGCUGUAAACGAUGAUUACUAGGUGUGGGGGGUCUGACCCCUUCCGUGUCGGAGUUAACACAAUAAGUAAUCCACCUGGGGAGUACGGCCGCAAGGUUGAAACUCAAAGGAAUUGACGGGGGCCCGCACAAGCAGUGGAGUAUGUGGUUUAAUUCGAAGCAACGCGAAGAACCUUACCAGGUCUUGACAUCCAACUAACGAAGUAGAGAUACAUUAGGUGCCCUUCGGGGAAAGUUGAGACAGGUGGUGCAUGGUUGUCGUCAGCUCGUGUCGUGAGAUGUUGGGUUAAGUCCCGCAACGAGCGCAACCCUUGCUAUUAGUUGCUACGCAAGAGCACUCUAAUAGGACUGCCGUUGACAAAACGGAGGAAGGUGGGGACGACGUCAAAUCAUCAUGCCCCUUAUGACCUGGGCUACACACGUACUACAAUGGAUGUUAACAGAGGGAAGCAAGACAGCGAUGUGGAGCAAACCCCUAAAAACAUUCUCAGUUCAGAUUGCAGGCUGCAACCCGCCUGCAUGAAGAUGGAAUUGCUAGUAAUCGCGGAUCAGCAUGCCGCGGUGAAUACGUUCCCG
rnacentral:rRNA from 2 species